AUUAUUGAAUAGAUUGAAACAUUGAAAGAGAAACAAAAAAAAGAUAAUCCUUUUUUAAAAAAUAUUUAUCCUUUCUGGUGAGAUAAGCACAAUAAUGAAUCAUUAUUAAUGACUAGUCUUUCACUUGUCUUCAACUCAAUAGUCACUGAUAACACUGUGUAAAAAAAGAGAGGGAAAAGGUUUAGUUUGGGAAACAUUUAAUGCUGACGCCAUUUUGAACUUGUGAUGUUUCUUCAAUUUGUCUGUCUGUUAGCAGUAAUUGUCAGACUAACCAGACACUUUUUACCUCUCAAAGUACCAUUAUUAAUGUAUCUGUGAAAGUGUUCAACCUUCUAAUGAAUCAAUUAGUCCAUUAAACAGCAAAUAAUUACAAAUGUUAUUCCAAGAUGUUUCGUUGUUCAGAUGCUGGUGGAAGGAAGAUAAUGGCUAUGAGUCGUAACUUAUGGUAAUGGUUUGCAUGAUGGUUCACAGAGUUAACAGUUGAAAGAGACAAGAGAAGGAUAACAAUGAUCAUAAUGACAAACAAACACUCGCAUCAUCAUCAAAAGAAAUGAUAACUUUAGUUAUAUAUUAGAUGAUUAUCAUGCUCGAGGCCAGAUUUAUGAUGAAUUUACAUUUGGUUGACUGGAUUACUCAAGGCAUUACACUUACAAUAUAAUACAUGGUUUCACUGUUUUUUUCCUGUCAUCUUUCCAUUCACCCGAAAACACAAUCACACAUACAAAUUUACACACAGACAUUAUAUGGUUUACCAUUUUGGCAAUGUCAAUGUCUUACCUGCAGAUUAAAAAGGAAUACAAAAAACACUGUCAACCACAUUGUCUGUACUUUAACUCCAGCCAUCAGUGUUCAUCAACAUCCAAUUGAUUAGUUUUCAUCAACAAAAGCAGCCCAUUAUAAAGGAUAUUUUUCAUAGAUAAUUAAGGAAAGAAAACAAGUCGAGCAAAAGAACAGCAUUAACAUUCAGGAUUAGAUUAAGCUCUUCUUUUUUCGUUUUUUAACCAACAAUUUCGAUUCAACAACUAAUCGAACCCUAACACUUAACGCAACUUUACUUUUAACAAUAGCCUUAAUCUUUUCUAUUUCAUCACAGUUUCCUUUAUCAACUUCAGCUGGGAAUGCACUACAUAAGGAUGAGCAGACAUUCAACCUUCACAAACACAAAAUGCUAGGAGACGCUCGAUUUUAGCUUGUCUCAUUCGGGGAAUCCAGAGGAAGUUGAAGAAUUUAAAGAUUUUGCCUUCAUGUUUGGACACUUGGACUUGCUAACGCCAUGAGGAGUAAAGCUGUAUGGAUUUCAGCUAAAAAGAGAUCAAGAAUCGAAUCCAAAUUACGAAAUGUUGUAAAAAUAAUCUCGAUAAUCGAGUUUGCCAUGUUGAGCUAUUUGUUGCAUAGCAAUAUUAUGUAAACUAAUUAAGUUGAUUAUUGUGAAUAAUCCAGUCAAUAUUAGUCCAUGUUUUUCUGAAAGGUAGUUUGUUACUUUAGUGCAACCACUUUUCAACCCAAAUUUAAUCUGUAUCAUAUCAGUUUCUGGUAAGUCAACAAACAUUCAUGUUAUCAACAGUACAUAUAAACCACAUGGAAUGAGAUUAAAAGGAUAUUGUCUUUACCUUGACCACUUGUAUAACACUGAUGAAACAAAUGAUUAUUAGCCAUCAACGAUCCAAAAACUAAUCACUGUAAUCACAGUAAUCAAAUAGUUUUUUUAUAGCUUCUCGUUUUUAUAUUGUUCAUUGCUUGUCAUCACAGCUACAGUAAAAAUACAAGCACACACAAAAGGCUAAAGCAUGUAAAAACAAAUUAAAUAAGGUUAAUAGUUA